rnacentral:misc_RNA from 1 species
GAUGAAGAACGUAGCGAAAUGCGAUAAGUAAUGUGAAUUGCAGAAUUCAGUGAAUCAUCGAAUCUUUGAACGCACCUUGCGCCCUUUGGCCAUUCCGAAGGGCAUGCCUGUUUGAGUAUCAUGAACACCUCAACUCUCAUGGCUUGCCAUGAUGAGCUUGGACUUUGGGGGUCUUGCUGGCCUGCGGCCAGCUCCUCUCAAAUGAAUUAGCUUUCCAGUGUUUGGUUGGCAUCACAGGUGUGAUAACUAUCUACGCUUGUGGUUUCCACCAGGUAACCUUCAGUAACAUGGGGGUUUGCUGGAGCUCAUAAAUGUCUCUCCUUAGUGGGGACAGCUCUUUGAACGUUUGAUCUCAAAUCAGGUAGGACUACCCGCUGAACUUAAGCAUAUCAAUAAGCGGAGGA